rnacentral:ncRNA from 1 species
GAGUCUCUGGAGAAUCCCUUGGCCGGCUGGCCAAAGGGUGCCGAAGGUGCAAGGCUCGCGCAGAGCCGAAUCUCUCAGGCAAAAGGACAGAGCG